ensembl:lncRNA
CUCGGCUACAGUCUUGCACUGGCCCUCUGCUCCUCCCACAGAGGUCAAGCUGGGGUUAGAUAUCUGCUCUGAGUGUUCACAGCCAUAACUGAAGGUCUGUGACCUUGUGCAAUGAAUAGAACCAUCUGGACUAGAAAAGAUCCCAGCUUUUGAUAUGGGCACUGUGCCAAAUGCUGGGCCCGCAAGGAGAGUCCCUGUGGAAGAGGAAGGAGCUUGGAGUUCUGAGGUCUACAAGGGAACAAGUAUUUUAUCUAAGGAACGGACAAGUGGAACAUCAAAGCGCAGGAUACAAUCUGUAGAAGAAAAAAAAAGUGGCCACACAGUCCCAUAUUCUGAUGAUAGGCUGCUGGCUGCAGUGCUGUUUCCAACUGUUUCCUGGUCCUCCCUGCUUUGCCAGUGGCCAUAGUGAACUUGCUGAUGGACGUAAAUGCAACUUGAAGGAGUUUGUUUAUAUGGUGAGUUACAUUCAUUGAUUUACAUGUGUUGAACCAACUCAACAUUCUGGGGUGAAGACUACUUAAUCAUGGUGGAUGAUCUCUUUGAUGUGUUCUUGAAUUUUGUUUGAGUCUCAGAUGAUGAUGCAGGCUGUCCAGGAGACAGUGAUCAGAAUCAGUUCCAGAAUGGGGAAGACAAUCUCCAGGAUGAGCACCAAAUGGGCCAAUGGAAUUCCUGUCCUUUAUAAAGGUCUUAGUUGUCUUUGGUGAGGUAGACCAGAAAGCCUAGCAGGGCUACAAGGAGGAUGGUGAUGCAAAUGGUGUGGGUGGCCUACAGUUCUUGAGGCAGAGCCAGCAGAAGACUCUGUAGUGAGCCAUGCUCUGGACCAGGCAGGACAUAUACAAUCCUUCUGUGCCAGCGAGCAUGGCACAAAUGCAACUGCUGAGGCAGUCACCUUCCUCAAGUGUGGGUGCUGGAAAUUCACCUAGCUAAGUAGUGUCAGGAUCAUGCUUGGGAUUUUCAAAGCAAUGGAGACCUGCAAAGCUUGAGUGUAUAAAAAGGAAAAUAACCUGUGGGCUAGGUUGAAGAUGGAGGUAGGCAUCAUUCAACCAUCAUGUGCCUAAUUGAUGAAGCAGAAGAGACUCUGCUCUGCACAGCCUUCUCAAGGGGAAUGCUCUAGUGACCUGCUUUUUCAAGAUUCCAGGAGUAAGGAGGUUGGUGUGGUGGCAGUGGUAAGCCUGCUUACUCAUUUAGGGGACCUGGUGACUAAGGCAUGGCCCCUAGAGUCUAAAAGAGCUGUUCUGACCUUUGAUAUUUUACUUAACCUUUCUGGGCCUCAGUUUCCUACCCUACAAGAUAAAGGCAGCAAGAUUACAUUUUAUUUAUUUAAUUUGAACGUGUAUGGGUCUUUUACUGUAUGUAUCUAUGCUUGCACCUCAUGUGUGCAGUGCCAUGUAAGCCAGAAGAGGGUGUUGAAACCCCUGGAAAUGGAUUACAGAUUGUUGUUGUAAGCUACAAUGUGGGUGCUGGAAACCAAACCUGGCCCCAAGGAAAAGCAACUGGUGCCCUUAACUGCUGCUUUAUCUUCUUUAUCUUUCCAGCCCCAGCAAGAUUGCUUUUUUUUUCUCUCUGGUCUUUUCAGACAGGGUUUCUCUGUGUAGCCUUGGCUGUUCUGGAACUCACUCUAUAGACUAGGCUGGCCUCAAACUCACAGAGAUCCAUCUGCCUCUGCUUCUCAAGUGCUGGGAUUAAAGGCAUGUGCCACCACCAAGACUGCAUUUUAAUGUAUACAUUUAAUCAUAUCCUAAGAAGUGUAUUAAGCAGUACAUGAUAAAUCCUAAAUAAAUACUGUGAACUGUCUUAAUUAUUGUUGUUUUGCUGCUAUAUCCCCUGGACCCCUAAGAAACUUCGGUUGAUUCUUCUGAUGAGUUGUUUCAUGGCUGAGCUCCCUUCCAACUUCCUGCCAACCACAAUAUCUCCCACCACCCAUGGACUGGAACAUCUGUAGGAUGGUAUCCAGGUGGGAAUCAUUGCAAUCCAUGCUGGGAUUUUAGACUAUUAGCAUAUUCAACAAUGCAUUACCAUUACCAAGGCAUUAGUUACAAGUAGUAUUGAGUAGUGCUUGCAGUCAAUGACUGCCAGUGUUCCUAAUGAGAGAGAGGAUAUCCAUGGAAGUUGCAGUGGUUUCCUCUAUAGCUUAUCAGAGCCCCUGUGACUGAGAUCAGAGUUGGGUUACAUUUUUUUAUUUCUUGCACUUGAAGCACUUCCUGUGGGCUGAUUCCUUAACAUCCAGAAGGGAAGGUGGGUCUGGUGUCUAUUACAGAGAUAGCUGCGGCUGUAGAGAUGCUCUAAGAAGAAAAAAAUAUUGAGUGGUCUGAUUUCCCACUGGAAGAGGAAACUGAUGAGUCAGCAUAAAGGAAAAUAUCAAAUAGCAAUUUUGUUCUUCAAGACAAUCCCAGUGCUAAUGAAGGUGUGUUCUCUGGGUUGUUCAGUUUUCAGUUAUCUACUCAUAAGCCUCUCUGCCCCUUCAUAUGAUACUUUUAUGUAUUUGCUAUGUUUUCUAAUGUUCCUUCUAGACUGUCUUUUAUGGCUAAUGGGACAUUUUAUGACAUUGUGGGCAUGACAGAAGAAUGUUACCAGGUUGAUUCUUCCAUGAGGAUGGGAUAGCAUGGGACAGGACAUUUGGUUUGUAGCAUUUCCAAAAGUUCCUUCACUGCCUGUCUUAGUUAGGGUUUCUAUUGCUAUGAAGAGAAACCAUGGCUGCGGCAGCUCUUAUAAAGGAAAACAUUUAUUCAGGGCUGGCUUACAGUUUCAGAGGUUGGUCCAUUAUCAUCAUGGUGGAAAAUGGCAGCAUGCAAGCAAGCCUGUUGCUGGAGAGGUAGCUGAGAGUUGUACAUUGGGAUCAGCAGACAGCAGGAAGAGACAGGGCCUGG